rnacentral:sRNA from 1 species
AGAAGGUGAAGAGUGCAUGGCUGCAGAGUGAGGAGGAUGACGAAGACAUUGAAAGUGGAAGAAAUAUAGGUCCAUCAUCUCCCAGCUUCAAAAUUUAUUGCAGAGAACCGAAGAACAAGGCGGAAAUAUUUCCUGAGUCACAGGAUCUAGCUGAUGAUGAGAACCAACUCCAGAAGUCACCCAGUGAGAAUAGUUUUGAAAGCUUUGGAGCUUCAGUUGGCAAUACAGAGAACUCCAACGAGAUUUUUAACAUUAAAUCAGCUUCGAAGAGAAAAGGGAAAAUGAAAGAGGC